rnacentral:rRNA from 1 species
ACCAUGCAGUCGACGGAAGGCCCUUCGGGGUACUCGAGUGGCGAACGGGUGAGUAAACGGGGGUGAUCUGCCCUGCACUUUGGGAUAAGCCUGGGAAACUGGGUCUAAUACCGAAUAUGACCGCGCUCUUCAUGGGGUGUGGUGGAAAGCUUUUGCGGUGUGGGAUGGGCCCGCGGCCUAUCAGCUUGUUGGUGGGGUAAUGGCCUACCAAGGCGACGACGGGUAGCCGGCCUGAGAGGGUGACCGGCCACACUGGGACUGAGAUACGGCCCAGACUCCUACGGGAGGCAGCAGUGGGGAAUAUUGCACAAUGGGCGCAAGCCUGAUGCAGCGACGCCGCGUGAGGGAUGACGGCCUUCGGGUUGUAAACCUCUUUCAAUAGGGACGAAGCGCAAGUGACGGUACCUAUAGAAGAAGGACCGGCCAACUACGUGCCAGCAGCCGCGGUAAUACGUAGGGUCCGAGCGUUGUCCGGAAUUACUGGGCGUAAAGAGCUCGUAGGUGGUUUGUCGCGUUGUUCGUGAAAACUCACAGCUUAACUGUGGGCGUGCGGGCGAUACGGGCAGACUAGAGUACUGCAGGGGAGACUGGAAUUCCUGGUGUAGCGGUGGAAUGCGCAGAUAUCAGGAGGAACACCGGUGGCGAAGGCGGGUCUCUGGGCAGUAACUGACGCUGAGGAGCGAAAGCGUGGGGAGCGAACAGGAUUAGAUACCCUGGUAGUCCACGCCGUAAACGGUGGGUACUAGGUGUGGGUUUCCUUCCUUGGGAUCCGUGCCGUAGCUAACGCAUUAAGUACCCCGCCUGGGGAGUACGGCCGCAAGGCUAAAACUCAAAGGAAUUGACGGGGGCCCGCACAAGCGGCGGAGCAUGUGAUUAAUUCGAUGCAACGCGAAGAACCUUACCUGGGUUGACAUGCACAGGACGCCAGUAGAGAUAUGUUCCCUUGUGGCCUGUGUGCAGUGGUGCAUGCUGUCGUCAGCUCGUGUCGUGAGAUGUGGGUAAGUCCC